rnacentral:rRNA from 1 species
AGCGAACGCUGGCGGCAGGCUUAACACAUGCAAGUCGAACGGGCGUAGCAAUACGUCAGUGGCAGACGGGUGAGUAACGCGUGGGAACGUACCUUUUGGUUCGGAACAACACAGGGAAACUUGUGCUAAUACCGGAUAAGCCCUUACGGGGAAAGAUUUAUCGCCGAAAGAUCGGCCCGCGUCUGAUUAGCUAGUUGGUGAGGUAACGGCUCACCAAGGCGACGAUCAGUAGCUGGUCUGAGAGGAUGAUCAGCCACAUUGGGACUGAGACACGGCCCAAACUCCUACGGGAGGCAGCAGUGGGGAAUUUUACGCAAUGGGCGAAAGCCUGACGUAGCGACACCGCGUGAGCGAAGAAGCCCCUUGGGGUGUAAAGCUCUGUCAGCUGGAACGAAAAAAUAGACGGUACCAGCAGAGGAAGCAUCGGCUAACUACGUG